GCUAUUCUCUUUACCUGGCCCUGAUGCGCGCCAGCCAACCAGGCCAAGGCCAGGGGACCUCGAGACCGGCAGCCUCGACGAAGAACCGGAAGGAGGAAAAGGAACGGGAGGGAGGAAGAUCUCCCGCAUUGACUUCAUAACCAAGUUCUGGGUCCCUGCCUCUGGAGUGCCUGAUGAGACAAAACGGCUCCUCGUCCUGCAUCCCCGCUGCUACUUCCAGAAUUCAGGCCUCGUGGUCUGGAGCCUGCACUGUUCCAUGAGCCUCCUGAGCAACCUGGAGUCCUCUGUCUUUCUUCCCUCAGUGAGAUGCGCCUACUUCUCCCUGGAGAAGCUCGAGGAAGCAGGAAUGCUGGAGAUGAGACCCAGCACACCCUGCCUGCAUGGCGCUGCGCUGCACCUUCACUCUGGUCACGGGUCUGGCAGUCGGCUCACCAAUUCGUCCUGCUUCCCUGGGACUCGCCGGCUUUUAGCACUGCAAUUCACUCAGCAAACUGGGACUGUUGGUCACCCUACCUGGCAGCCAGUGAUAAGGUGAGGGCCACUCCUGGGAGGGAGGACACCUGUGGGGAAAAUUCUUGUGUUAUUUAUUUCUCCUUCGGGAUAGGGUGCCUGCAGCGCUUCAUGGGAGGGGGUGGGCUGAUGCUGCGGGCUCAGAAGUUUCAAGGGCAUCUGGGGAGACCAGAUAUUCAGAGACCUUCUCCUAGAUGUGCCUGUUCCAUGUAUCAGGGACACAGGUUUUCCCAACAG
ensembl:lncRNA EOLA1-DT EOLA1 divergent transcript